rnacentral:tRNA from 1 species
CCCUAGGUGGCUCAGCCAGUAGACAGCAUGAGACUCUUGAUCUCAGGAUUGUGAGUUCGAACCCCACAUUGGGUG